UACCAGCACCCCGAGUGGUCGGGACGAUUAUUGGGCCUAAAGCAUCCGUAGCCGGUUUUACAAGUCCUCCGUUAAAUCCAACUGCUUAACAGAUGGGCCGCGGAGGAUACUAUAAGACUAGGAGGCAGGAGAGGCAAGCGGUACUCAGUGGGUAGGGGUAAAAUCCGUUGAUCCAUUGAAGACCACCAGUGGCGAAGGCGGCUUCCUGGACUAAUACUGACGCUGAGGUGCGAAAGCGUGGGGAGCAAACAGG
rnacentral:rRNA from 1 species